rnacentral:piRNA from 1 species
UGGAUGUAUAUAGUGCCUCUGGCUUGAAACU